rfam:Brachypodium distachyon strain Bd21 chromosome 1, whole genome shotgun sequence.
UACUUACUCCCUCCGUCCCAUAUUAAGUGACUCAAAUUUGUCCAAAUAUGGAUGUAUCUAUACCCAAAAAGCAUCCAGAUACAUGUAAUAUUUUGUCACUUAAUAUGGGACGGAGGGAGUACAUG